GAUUGACCCAGAAUCUGAUUUUCUACCUUGUCAUCCAGAGGCUAUCCUGGGUUGAGAUUUCUCUAGAUCAGUCAAAGGAUCCACUGUCUAUGCCAAGUUUCUUCUGGAAAGAAGCGAUCGAUGGAACUUUCCAUGCAGCAGGUAAAUGGUUGCAGAUAGAAGAUUUAUUAGAGAUUUUACAUCCAGCCCAUGAGGAUUUUGACUGAUUCCAUUGAGCAGGCUCAGCCAUUAAAAGAAGUCUUCGACUGGAUGACAAGAGCUAAAAGCAAUACUGCAUGCACCCUUACUCUGGUCUUCUUCAUUUCUGCUGUGCAAUGCUACUACCUUCAGCAACCACACUAAAUACUGGGUGCCAAAUGAUAAUGCUGAGCAAAUGCACACCAAUUAAAACGUGAUUAUACCUGUCCUGUGGAUAAGAAUCUGCAAAACCGAAGAAUGGAGCUGAUAAAAUGCGCAGUGGGAGGGAGAUUUUGUUGGAGCAUGAAACUAUACGGCAUACCAAGUACUCACAUUCUUAUAUAUCAAGCAUGUGUCUGACAGCAAUCACAGUGAAGAAAAUUUGUGCCAAUAAAAUUAGAAAGACCAUCAGAGAAAAAAUUGCAGUAAAUAAACAUGCCAAAGUUAACAUUUUCAGUACCCAA
rnacentral:lncRNA from 1 species